AAUCCAUAGUGAGGACACCUUCUCUACAAAUCCUUGAAUCUCUCUCAUGUAUCAUAAAGAGUCUCAAAAUCAAACUGAACAAAAACAUAGAUGUCAUUCCUCAACUU
rfam:Gossypium raimondii chromosome 4, whole genome shotgun sequence.